rnacentral:SRP_RNA from 13 species
GCACCAAGGCCCGGAAGAGAGCACCUUGAGCUAGACGCCGCU